rnacentral:rRNA from 1 species
AUUGAACGCUGGCGGCAGGCCUAACACGUGCAAGUCGAGCGGCAGCGGAAAGUAGCUUGCUACUUUGCCGGCGAGCGGCGGACGGGUGAGUAAUGUCUGGGAAACUGCCUGAUGGAGGGGGAUAACUACUGGAAACGGUAGCUAAUACCGCAUAACGUCGCAAGACCAAAGAGGGGGACCUUCGGGCCUCUUGCCAUCAGAUGUGCCCAGAUGGGAUUAGCUAGUAGGUGGGGUAAUGGCUCACCUAGGCGACGAUCCCUAGCUGGUCUGAGAGGAUGACCAGCCACACUGGAACUGAGACACGGUCCAGACUCCUACGGGAGGCAGCAGUGGGGAAUAUUGCACAAUGGGCGCAAGCCUGAUGCAGCCAUGCCGCGUGUAGGAAGAAGGCCUUCGGGUUGUAAAGUACUUUCAGCGGGGAGGAAGGUGUUGAGAUUAAUAACCUCAGCAAUUGACGUUACCCGCAGAAGAAGCACCGGCUAACUCCGUGCCAGCCGCCGCAGUAA